rnacentral:misc_RNA from 1 species
ACUUUGAACGUUUCCUUCUCUCCAACAAUCUCGUGAUAUACCUCCUGUCUCAGCAGCUCUCUGCCUUGAAAAGUUCUGGACCAUAUGAGUUUUUGACCAAUGGAAGCUGAGCUUUAGACCCUGCAGUGUGACUGAUCCCCAUCAGGUACAAGUAACAUUCCCAUGAUGCACUGCUGCACUACUCUAAUAGGAAGAGUGGAGAACCAGUCUAUCAGCUAAGGGGAACCAAACCUGAGAAGAUCUAAAGACAGUUACUCUUUCCAAGAAGGGUAACUCUGGCCAAGAUAGCUUAAUGAUCAAAGAGAAAUAACUCUAUUUAAGGAGAAUAAACUCUAGCUUGGUGAUAUAACUUCAAAUCAAACGGAAGUAACUCUAUCCAAGGAGAGUAACUCUGGCUGAGACAGUAUGGGGGACGGACUGUUUUCUCUGAUGACCUGCUGUGUUGCAGAGCAACCUCAGCCCACAAGGUGGAGAAGAAUUGACGCCACAAUGAUAGGGAACCCCACAGACUUCCGUCACACGGGCCAUAUAGGAUCAGGCGAGAUGGCUACUAAGCAAAAUGUUUGUCUUUCUUCAUUACAAAACCAAAUGAAAUCCAAAGGAGGUUAUGAUCACACAUCUCCUGUUGACAUCCAUUUAAAUGUAGUGGAUUUACCAGACAGAAACAAUAGAUAGGAAUUAGUGACUCUGCCAAAAUUCUUGUUACUGUACAAAGUAUAUUAGAUACAUCUGUCUGUGAUCUCAAAAGUGUGGAAGGAAUCUGUCAUAAAACUUAAUAUAUACAAUCUCUAGGCCAAAGGAGAAGGAGCAACGCUUGAAGCAAACAUCCUAUCAACUUAUUUGUGCAAGAACUUUUUGUGCAAAUGAAAGCAGGAUUCUCAUUGGAUGAAGUAUGUUACUCUGCAGUUUGAGAGGAAGAAUUUCAUUGGAUGUUUGGGAGCUGUGAUAAUUCAAGUUUGAAAGAACACUUUUCAUUGGGUGCUGAACAUGUUUAAAGCAGACAUUUCGUGACAUAGGACUCCUGAGUGAACAUUUUGGUGCUGCAUUUCUGAGUGAAUGCCUCCCUUGGAUUAGUUUAUGUUUGUGUAAUUUUGUACAUUCAUGAAUAUUGGC